rnacentral:rRNA from 1 species
UACGGGGGGGGCAAGCGUUGUUCGGAAUUACUGGGCGUAAAGCGUGCGCAGGCGGUUUUGUAAGUCUGUCGUGAAAUCCCCGGGCUCAACCUGGGAAUUGCGAUGGAGACUGCAAGGCUAGAAUCUGGCAGAGGGGGGUAGAAUUCCACGUGUAGCAGUGAAAUGCGCAGAUAUCAGGAGGAACACCCGUGGCGAAGGCGGCUCUCUGGUACGUGACUGACGCUGAGACGCGAAAGCGUGGGGAGCAAACAGA